rnacentral:lncRNA from 1 species
AAGGACCCCGCGUCCAGGACAGGAAAGUGCGUGAUUUACAGCUAGAGGGACAGGCGCUGUCCCGGAGCCCGUCCUGGGCCAGGGAGCAGGAGGCACCCCUGACCUUGCUUACACACUCUGGAUACCACCUGCUGUGGAGUGGCGGAAGCAGACAUCCAGCGAUAGUUAGGUUUCCUGUCGUUGACACCCAAGCAAGAAAGGCGUGUACCUAACUGAGGACCUGCCCGUGAUAGAAGUCUCAGCUUUUCUCAGAGACAGAGUGACUGAAAAGGCUAGGGUGCGUGCCCAAGACUGCACCUGGGGUAAGAGAGAGCCCAGAGGACAAAUCCCACAGACAACAAUGAUUUGAAAAGCAGGACAUGGA